AUAACAACAAAUGUAUAUGUUAUAACAACAAAUGAAUUUGAGGGAAAAUUACACUCCAAGAAUAAUUUCCUGUUCUUUUUGACAGAACUAGAAUAUAAACAGGAAAAUAAUUUACGGUUCCGGCUGUUAAAAUUUGACUCGAGUCACGCAGGGAAAGACAUUAUCAACAGCAAGGAGAUGUGAUCACAUAAGUAGAAGAGAGGCAAGAACCAUUGCAAAAACAGAAAGGAGAAGAGAUAGAGUGAGUUGGGUUUGUCCACUAGGUGCUGGUGCAGUGGUUGACGGGGUUCCAGGGGUUGGGGUUGGGGCUUUUGCUGUAACCGGAGGUAGUGGUGGCUCAGUGACAUCAGCAUCUGUGAAAACCGGGUUCGGAGCUUCAGCUGGAGGUAAGGACCCGGGACUCACAACUUCUAAGAGGCCACCGGGUUGCACAGGGGCCAUGUAAGAUAGAGUUUCUUU